GGAUUCUCGAGUUGAAUGUUAGCUGAAUAGUUUCGAAAUCGUAUAUGUUCAAAACAAAUGAUCAGAGGGAAUCAUCUCUAACUUAUUAGCUAAUAAUUAAAAUGGUCUUCGAACUGUUUCACCUUUUUCUAAAAUAACUUCACCUUUUGUUUUCCAAAAUGCGAAAAGUCCGAAAACAAUGUGGAAUGCAGAACUUUCGGAACAUGCAGUGCGAUGAGUUCCGAAUAUUUCUGAUUUAAUCUACUUUCGUUUUUAGGACGCUGUAGCUACGGUAACACCAUGAAGUGCAUCAACGCCAGGUUUCUCAACACCAUUAGGGGAAAAAAGGAAAACACAGUCAACACUGAAAAAACGACACACGUGUGCGUGGAGAGACAUUAAGAAGUGUUCUUGACACACUUAUCUCAAGCAACAAAAUGAAAUCCCGGAGAGGAUCAAAGUCCUGGAGAAUAUAAAGAGCACGAAGGAGAGGUUUCCAGGGAGGAAAAAAAUCAUGUGCCCCCAAGUGAACGGGUAGAGGAUAAUUCAAUGUGGUCUACAAAGAUAUUUCCUGUCCAAAAAACAGAAGAUGUUUUAUCAAAGAAGAACAAGCUGCAAGAUCAGAAGCAGAAGAGAGUCCUGUAUGAGAGGAAGAAGGAGAAAGCAAAGCCCAGGACUCGGGCUCUAGAACAUCUGAAAAACAAGGGUUGGCAAACCGAGCAGAGCAAAUAUUUUAAAUAUUGAAGGUGGAAUACACGUCCAGUGACGAGGAGUGUGAGGAGGGGUUUGUUACUCAUCCCCCAUCUUGGCAGAGUGACACCUUUGCCAAGGUCAAGAGUACCUUGGACAAUGUAUAUCUUGAGACCUGCUCCGUGAAGAGCAAACGUUGGAAGUAGUCACGUAAAGGAGCCCCCUACUAUUCCAGAGGAAUGUUUGUGGAUGCUAAAAAAAGAUUAAAUUAGAAAAUAAGAAAAUUUAAAAAUAAGAAAAGCAUAUCAUUCUGUUUAUUUCUGUUGGCAUUUUUGAAUGAAAAAUCCAUCUUAAUACAUGACUACAUCUACUACUCUUUUACAUUAUUCUGCUGUUAAAGAAACCUUACAUGUAUGUAUACACAUCAUUUAUUUUCUAAAUGUACAUUUUUAAACUGAAAAUUUACUAUAAUGUAAAAGAAUUUUCUUUCUUCUUUUUUUUAUUUUUUCCCAAUUUAAAUAAUUUUUCACAAAAUCUUGAUCCAUUUGUUAAUUUGGUUAAAUUAACAAGAUCUUUAUUUAUUUGUUUAAUUACAGAUGAUUAUAUGUAAAUAAUUAUACAGUAAAACUUGGUUAUAACAAAGUCAAUAGGACAACAGUAGCUGUAAAUUUAUUUCGCUAUAUGCAUAAUUUGUUGUAUCCGUAUAAGGAAUUCCUAAAAUUUAUACAGUUGGGGAUUUAAG